rnacentral:rRNA from 1 species
GAUGAACGCUGGCGGCGUGCCUAAUACAUGCAAGUAGAACGAUGAAGGAGGAGCUUGCUCUUCUGGAUGAGUUGCGAACGGGUGAGUAACGCGUAGGUAACCUGCCUGGUAGCGGGGGAUAACUAUUGGAAACGAUAGCUAAUACCGCAUGACAACAGUUAUUGCAUGAUAACUGUUUAAAAGGGGCAACUGCUCCACUACCAGAUGGACCUGCGUUGUAUUAGCUAGUUGGUGAGGUAACGGCUCACCAAGGCGACGAUACAUAGCCGACCUGAGAGGGGGGUCGGCCACACUGGGACUGAGACACGGCCCAGACUCCUACGGGAGGCAGCAGUAGGGAAUCUUCGGCAAUGGACGGAAGUCUGACCGAGCAACGCCGCGGGAGUGAAGAAGGUUUUCGGAUCGUAAAGCUCUGUUGUAAGAGGAGAACGAGUGUGAGAGUGGAAAGUUCACACUGUGACGGUAUCUUACCAGAAAGGGACGGCUAACUACGUG